rnacentral:lncRNA from 1 species
UCUUCAUUAAAGCAAGUAGGUAAAUAUUUCUUCAAGAAUCAACUCUUAAGCAAUCAACCUGUGUCCUUAAUCUGUGAGAAUUCAAACAAUCAAAUACUAAAUCAAUGGUCACAAAAUAAGUAAAAUAAGCAAAGACCACAGCAAUUUGUUGCUUCAUCAAACCACAAACAAAUAACUUAUAGCAGACAAAGUAAAAUGAAGGAAACAAAUCACUACAGUACUAUAUUAUACUACUAAUAGUACUCAAAUAUAUUUACUAUAGUUUACUUCAGAUAAGGCAUAAUCUCACGGCAAAUAAAGUGCAAAAUAAAGAUUUGAUUUUUACAAUAAAAAUAGACCUUUACAGUUGUAAUAAUUCCUGAAACACUAACCAAAUGAUGUUCUCGAACCAUAGAACCAAAGCUUCAUCGGAAACCUCGAAAGGAACUACGACCAGACCUCGAAACUCACCGGACUCUCACCGGAUCUAUCACCUUCUGGUGCAGCAGUAAUAGAAAAGGGAAACAAACAACGGAGAAAGAAGAAUAGUAGCCUUCGCCGAUUUUGGCUGAGCUCGUCGGAUUCAAUGCAUGGUCGUCGGAGCUAUGCGUUUCUAGUCAAAUCUGAACGACAUUCACAAGUAUCAAAUCUCCAGCAUUUGAAACAGAGAUGAGGGCGAGCAUGGUCGCCGGCGUGGUCCAGGGAGGAGGUCGUGGGUUGCUGAUGCAGAAGCAGGAACGGUUAAAAGAAAAAAUGGGUGUUUUUGGGUGUGGAGGCUAUCGUUAAUGUCUGAAGAUUAGAGAUGAAUGAGGUUCAGUAGGUUUUUCUGGUUUUUUCUCUUAGAAAUUAGCUGAUGGUUUUUCCAAUAAGGGGUCGCUGCUCG